rnacentral:rRNA from 1 species
UACCAGCACCCCGAGUGGUCGGGACGAUUAUUGGGCCUAAAGCAUCCGUAGCCGGUCCUGCAAGUCUUCCGCUAAAUCCAGCUGCUCAACAGAUGGGCUGCGGAGGAUACUACAGGGCUAGGAGGCGGGAGAGGCAAGCGGUACUUUAUGGGUAGGGGUAAAAUCCGUUGAUCCAUAGAAGACCACCAGUGGCGAAGGCGGCUUGCCAGAACGCGCUCGACGGUGAGGGAUGAAAGCUGGGGGAGCAAACCGG